CUAGAAUCUAAAAAUAGGACACCAUGUUUUGAGAAGUGAUUUUUUUUUUUUCCUGAGUUUUGAAUUUAGCCAAGUUUAAUAUUUAUGCAUUCAUUGAAAAACUGCUUUUGUUGAAAAAUUUAAAUCGAACAAAAUUUGAAAAAAAAUUUUUUUUCUAUUGUGGUUUUGCUGAGUUUUUUUUUUUCAUAAUUACAGAUUUUUACGUGUAUGAUAAGUACUACAGAAGAAAUGUGAUAUAAUUUUUAUUUUCUGGGAGUGAUAAUUUUUAAACUUUGAGUACAUCAAUCAGCAACUAUUUUCCCUUGUACAUUAAAUGAAUAGUAGAGUAAUAAUUCAUAGC
rnacentral:lncRNA from 1 species